CCUCUCUCUCACUCCCCCUCCUCAAAGUUAAAGAGGUAGAAAAUAUGAAGCAAAGGGUUCAAGGGUUGAGAUGCAGGCAAGGAGAUUACUCAACAAUUAUUGUCACAGGGAAAACAGACUCCACAUAAGGAGACAAUAAGAUUUAU